UAAUUAUAAUCUUAUACAAUAUUAAGUCCAAUAUCUUAAUAUACUUAUAUAUAAUUUCUACAUUGACUGUUUGAGAUUGGGCUAUUUGAGCUUGUUUAAGAAAAAAAAGAAAAAACAAGUGGGGAAGCUUUUAUUAAUUGACGACCAAUAAACGAAAAAGUAAUGAGAGUUUAUCCGUUGCUUAUAGCAACGGUUCAUUUAAAACGAAAAAGUAAUUUUUUAGCAACGGUUGCUUUACAGCGUCACGAAAUCUAAAUUAGGAUUUUCCCGUUGUAUAUCCGUUGCUUUCAGUAUUUGCCUCUUGAUAUUACAAAUUUCCUAAUUCGUUUGAGUAGAACAAAUUUCCCUCUUUUCUAUUCUCGCAUCUCUGUAUUUGCCACGAAAUUGAAGACUUCACUGGUGCUUGGGCUCUAUUGGCGAUUUCUACGCUGCAGAGCAUUCCCGCAAAUAAUUGACAGGCAUGGCUUAAGCACAAUAUUGAUAUCCUUUGGAAGCAAAGAUCAACUCCGGCAUCGUUGAUUCUUGAAGUAUCUUUAAUAUUUUCUAAUGGCUCCUUCAGAAAUAGAAGUUUUUGAAACCUUAAAUUACAAACCCUUACACCAUUCUUCUCCUACCCAUUUCAUUCGACUCAUUACCACCAGCACCACCGGGUUAUUUAACCCAGUAUUUGCGAGUUAUCAAGUUUCAUGACUGAGCCGUUUCUCUCUUCGAUUCAGCCCGAAUGGAUUCGUCCUAAAACAAUGCCCAUCUAACUUAGCCAAAUCUGAUUUUUGGAAAUUGUCUGGUGCUAAAAGUCGAUCUUUAUUGUUACAGGUUGUGGUUUAUCUCUUCAAAUGGGGACUGAUUUAGUUUGAUUAGUAAUUGUAAAGUGGUUUUUGCUUUGUCAUUUUGAUUAAUUGCACUCUUUGCAUUUUUAUUUGGUUUUUUUUUGUUGGAUCAUUUUUUUAUGUAAUUAAUGGUUAAAAGAGUGUUUAAUGAUAUUAGUUUUGUUUUUGUUGCUCUGUCAUCUGGCUUCACGGCUUAACAAUGAAGGUAAUAGCCUUUAUUCUUCGUAAUCCGACAUGAAUUUUACUAUGCAAUUAUUAUUAUUAAACUGAUUUUUGGUUUUGUUCUGAUAUAAGUUGUUGGUAUUGCAAAGCAUGGUGAAGAAACAUGGAUGUUGAUAUAAAGUCAAUGUUCUAUUUAAUGAAGAGUAUUGAUGUUAAAAGCAGAAUAUUGCUACUUCAGGAAUCUGUGUUGAUAAAAAGAUCAAUUGGUGGUUUGUAUGGUGGCUUUGGUGUAGUACUGUUAGUGGUACUUAAGAAAUUAGAAAGAAAGGAAAGGAAUAAGAGCACAUAUGGGUUGUCUCUGUAUUUUUUUCUAAUACUUGCGCUGUUUUCUUUCUUUUUUUUUUUCUUCUUUUUAAGAGAAAAGGGUUAGGAGGGGAGACCAUUGUCUACUGCUGCAUGAAAUCACUUUCCUUGUAUCAGCAGAAAAAUAAGAGAGACUGCACUGUUAAAUUACAGAGUUUAGACAUAGACUAUAGUUUUAGCCAAUUUUGUGUUUAAUUGGACUAAAAUAUACUUAAAAGUGAUUUUAAUUUCAUUUAAGGUGGAGAUUCUGUUCUUUGAUUAAUCUAAUAUGCAGUAUUCAAUUUGGUUUGAGAUUGAUAAGAAUAUGGCAAGGGAGAUCAUAAAUGACAGGUCACUUGCUUCAAGGUGGUUUGUCUUUGACACUUUCUUUCUUGUUCUUUUUUCUUUUUUUCCGAAAGUUCUAGUUAUUGCAUAGGUGUUUAUCAAAAUAGGAUUAACUUAAUUUCUGGAUAUAAAAUAGUGGGCUUUUAAGUGAUUGCAGGUGGUUUUGACACCAAGCCAUCUAGCUAUGGAGUAUGCUGCUGGAGGAGAGCUCUUUGAGCAAAUCUGCGAUAUUGGAAGAUUCAGCAAAGGUAAGAUUUUUAUGUCUCUUUUCAACUUCAAUUUUCGGAAUAUGAAUACACUAAGUAGAGUAGUAACUUUGUGCAAAUCGAGGCAAAAACUUGCGAAACGAUUUAGCUCAAAUUACUUUUUUAUUGUCUGCAAAACUUGUCUUUUCUUUUGCGUUGCAUGCUGGAUACUUUUUCCAACAACUUAUUUCUGGAGUCAGCUACUACUGUUCCCUAGAUCAGAUAACAUUUUGCUUUUUGAUGGAUAGGGAAAUUGGUCUAUAUUAUUUAUUUGUUCUGUUCUAAUAUAUGCAACAAAUAUGUCAUAUAUCAAUCAACAAUACAUAUGUUUUUUUGUUACAUGUAUCGAAUGAAGAAAAAGAAGCUAUUAUGAAAGUGGAACCUAAUUUUCAUAUUUACUCUAGCAAAGACCUAGACAUAUAAGCCCUUUAUAUUUUAUUCGUUUUGCUUUACAUGGGUCAUUUUGCCUUUUGAAGUAAAGUAUGCAAUGUAGUCAUUUGAUCAUUCCAUGGUAUUGUUAAAAAAUUUACUUAAGUUAAUGUUCUUAAGGAAUUUGGAUCUCUCUUGUUUACUUUAAGAUUUUGUACGACAAGCGAGAAUAUUUAAAAGAAGUUCAUGAAAAAAUUGAUAAGUUAAUAAAAUGUCGGAUAAUUUUAAGUUCAGGUUCUAUAAAAUGUUGUUCAAUAGGAAAUUAAUUGCAUUCUUGUUUGAACUGUGUUGCUCGAUGUGGCUCUUUGGAGAUUAUUAGUCUAGUUGGGUUUUCUUUUCCAAGCAAUAUCAUUUUAUAAUAUGCAGUUUUGAAGUCUGACUUUUCAAAACUUUCUUGUUUCAUCCUGGAAAAGUAUCUUCUUUCUAUUGUUGCAGUGAUGAUGGUUGGUUUUGUAUCGGUCAUAUUAAAGUAGCUUUAUUCUUAAACCAUUAUUAUAUUCUUGAUCACAACUCUUCAAUAAAACUUGCAUAUAUAGUCAAUGAGUUCACAUGUGCAUUUGUCAUGCAUCAUAGAGUCACAUAUAAGUCAUUCAUUGUCAUGUAUGAAGGUUGUAUAUUAGUCUGACAUAUAUGGACACAAGAACAUUAGUUUCAAAAUAAUAAUAAAAAAAAUGAAAUCAAAUGAUUGUUAAAAACUCAAUCAUUUUACGGUCCAUAUUGAAGAUGAAUUUGAAAAAGACAUGAAAUAUGAAUGAACAAUUUUAGAUAUAACUCGAGAUAUAUUAAAGUCCAAGUUGUCAGUCAAUCAGUCGCAUAUACAUUGGUCCUGCAUCAAAGUCACAUAUAACUAUGCAUUAUCAAGUACUAAGGUCAUAUAUUAGGAUGACACAUUAGAUACAAGGACAUUAGUUCCAACAUAAUAAUAUAAGAAAACGAAAUGAAUGAUUGUGCAAAAUAACAUCAUUUUAGCGUUCAGAUUGUUAAAAAUAAAUUUUAUAAGGACAUGAAAUCUGAAUGAACAAUUUUGGGCAUAACCUGAGAUAGAUCAAAGUUCUAGGUAAGUAAUAUUUAAGUAUGAAAUGGACAACACAUCAAGUUGCAAGGAAGGAGUAUAACAUUAAGAUCUUGAUGUAUACGAGCACAUAUUAAGUUUAAUAUCUAUUAUUUGGGUCCCAUCCAACUUGCUGCAUAAGUGUCUUUAGAGCAAUAAAACUUGAGAAUAACGAUAAGUUUGUGAGUUGAUACUUAAAUUACCUUACUGCAUAAUUAUUAUUAAAUUUUUGAUGAUUAUUAUUAUUAUUAUUACUGUUAUUGUAGUUGUAGUUGUUGUUACUGUAGUUGCAGUUGUUGUUAUUAUUAUUAUUACUACUAUUACUACUACUACUAUUACUACUAUUUCUACUACUAUAUUGCCAUGAGUAUUAUUAAGCUAUAUUUGAUAUUGUAUUAAAUGAUGUGAAAUAAUGUGAUGAUGUUUGGUUUAGUAUAUGCUAGAGUUACAUCUGAAAUCAAAGUAGAAAUUUAGUAAUUAGAGCCUAGGUUAAUAAUAAUCAGUCAAGCGACUUGAUAAGUACACAAUUCUUGAUUGUCUUUUAUGAAUUUCUUUUAUUUGUACAUGAUAAGUCACUUACUAGUGAUGAAGGUUUUGCAUUUAUUAAAUUUUACAAAUUGAAAAUGCUUUUUGGCAAUUGGGCUUUAGUUUCAAUAUAUCAUAAUAAUUCAAUUUGAUAAAGGUAAAAAGGAUUUGAUAAUAGUUUUAGAAGUAAAUUUUGAAAUUUGAGUGUUUUAUGAACUUUGUUAUUUUGGAACUUCAUGAUUGUGGCCAAGUUGUCAGCCAAUGAGUGGCAUAUGCAUUGGUCAUGCAUCAUAGUUAUAUAUAAGUCAUGCAUUGUCAAGUACUAAGGUCAUAUAUUAGCAUGACACAUUGGACAGAAGGACAUUAUUUCUAAAAUAAUAAUAUAAGAAAAAGAAAUGAAAUGUUUGUGAAAAUAAAAUCAUUUUAUAGUUCAUGUUGUUAAAAAUGAACUUUAUAAGGAUAUGGAUGAUGAACAAACAAUUUUGGGUAUUAAUUUGAAAUUGAUCACACUCCUCUAGGUAAGUUAUAUUUACAUAUGAAAUGGUCAAUGCAUCAAGGUGCAGGGAAGGAAUACAACAUCAAGAUCUUGAUGUAUACAAACACUUACUAAUUUUUAUUUGCAUUUAUUUGGGUCUCAUUCAACUCGCUGCACAAGAGUUUGAAAGCUAUACAACUUAAGGAUAAUGAGAAGUUUGUGAGUUCAUACUUACCUUACUGCAUGAUAUUAUUAUUGCUUUCAUUAUUAUUAUUCCAAUUAUCAUUGUUAUUAUUAUUUCUACUACUACUACUAUAACUACUACAGUUAUUACUAUUUCUACUAUGACUGUGUUGCUAUGAGUAUUGUUAAGAUAUAUUGGUUGUUGUAUUAUAUGAUUUGAAAUAAUGUGAUAAUGUUUGUUUUAGUAUUUGCUAGAAUUACAUCCAAUAUGAAAAUAGUGGUUUUGUAUUAGGAGGCUAGGUUCAUAAUAACCACUUAAACGACUCGGUAAGUACACAAUUCUUGAUUGUUUUUUGUUAAUUUCUUUUAUUUGUACAUGACAAGUGACUUACUGGUCCAUGUGUUGAAUGUAUUAAAUUUUAAAAAUUUAAAAUGUUUUUUGGCAAUUGCGGCUUUAGUUUCAAUAUACUAUAAUAAAUCAGUUUGAUAACGGUAAAAAGAAUUUGAUGAUAUUUUAGAGGGGCAUUUUGAAAUUUGAAUUUUCUUAUGAAUUAUGUUAUUUUGGAACUUGAUUCUUAUGUCCAAGUUGUCAAUCACUGAGUCGCAUAUGCAUUAAUCAUGCAUCAUAGUCACAUAAAAGUCACACAUUGUCAAGUACUAAAGUCAUCAAUCAACAUCACAAUUUGGACACAAGGACAUUAUUUUCAAAAUAAUAAUAUAAGAAAAUGAAAUGAAAUGUUUAUGAAAAAUAAAAUCAUUUUAAAAUCAUAUUAUUAACAAUGAACUUUAUAAAGACAUGAAAGUUGAACAAACAAUUUUCGAUAUAAUAUGAGAUUUAUCAAAGUACUCUUGGUAAGCUAUUCCUAAGUAUGAAAUAGACAACACAUCAAGGUACAAAGAAUGAGUACAACAUCAAGAUCUUAAUGUAUAAGAGCACAUACUAAUUUUACUUUCUAUUUAUUUAGAUCCCAUCCAACUCACUCCACAAGAGUUUUGAAAGCUAUGCAACUUGAGGAUAACAAUAAGUUUGAGGCUAGGUUCAUAAUAACCAGUUAAGCGACUCGGUAAGUGCACAAUUCUUGAUUGUUUUUUUCUUAAUUUCUUUUAUUUGUAAAUCAUAAGUGAGUUACUGCUGAUGGAGGUUUUGAAUGUAUUAAAUUUUAUAAAUUUAUAAUGUAUUUUGGCAAUUGGGGCUUUAGUUUGAGUAUACUAUAAUAAAUUAAUUUUAUUAAGGUAAAAAGAAUUUGAUGAUAUUUUAGAGGUGCAUUUCGAAAUUUGAAUUUUCUGAUGAAUUAUGUUAUUUUGGAACUUGAUUCUUGUGUCCGAUUUGUCAAUCACUGAGUUGCAUAUGCAUUGAUCAUGCAUCAUAGUCACAUAUAAGUCACGCAUUGUCAAGUACUAAAGUCAUCCAUUAGCAUGUCAAAUUGGACACAAGGACAUUAUUUUCAAAAUAAGAAUAUAAGAAAACGAAAUUAAAUGUUUGUGAUAAAUAAAAUCAUUUUAAGUUCAUAUGAUUAACAAUGAACUUUAUAAGGACAUGAAAGUUGAAGAAAUAAUUUUUGAUAUAAUCUGAGAUUUCUCAAAGUAGUCUUGGUAAACUAUUUCUAUGUAUGAAAUAGACAACACAUUAAGGUACAAGGAAGGAGUACAACAUCAAGAUCUUAAUGUAUAAGAGCACAUACUAAUUUUGCUUUGUAUUUAUUUAGAUCCCAUCCAACUCACUCCACAAGACUUUUGAAAGCUAUGCAACUUGAGAAUAACAAUAAGUUUAUCCCAUCCAGCUCACUCCACAAGAGUUUUGAAAGCUAUGCAACUUGAGGAUAACAAUAAGUUUAUCUCAUCCAACUCACUCCACAAGAGUUUUGAAAGCUAUGCAACUUGAGGAUAAAAAUAAGUUUGAGGCUAGGUUCAUAAUAACCAGUUAAGCGACUCGAUCCCAUCCAACUCACUCCACAAGAGUUUUGAAAGCUAUGCAACUUGAGGAUAACAAUAAGUUUAUCCCAUCGAACUCACUCCACAAGAGUUUUGAGAGCUAUACAACUUGAGAAUAACGAUAAGUUUGUGAAUUGAUACUAAACAUAACUUAGUGCAUUAUAUUAUUAUUAUCAUUUCUACUACUACUAUAAUUACUACUAUUUCUACUACGAUGUUGCUAUGAGUAUUGUAAAAAUAUAUUUGUUGUAUUAUAUGAUGUGAUAUUAUGUGAUAAUGUCUGUUCUUGUAUUUGCUAGAAUUACAUCCAAUAUCAAAAUAGUAGUUUAGUACUAGGAGGCUAGGCUCAUUAGUUAAACGGCUCGGUAAGUACACAAUUCUUGAUUUUUUUUUGUUAAUUUCUUUUAUUUGUACAUUACAAGUGAGUUACUAGUGAUGAAGUUUUGCAUGUAUUAAUUGGAAAUGUUUUUUGGCAAUUGGGGCUUUAGUUUCAAUAUAAUAUAACAAAUCAGUUUGAUAAAGGUAAAAUAGAUUUGAUGAUAUUUUAGGGGUACAUUUUGAAGUUUGAAUUUUCUUAUGAAAUUUAUUAUUUUGGAACUUGAUUCUUGUGUUCAAGUUAUCAAUCACUGAAUUGCAAAUGCAUUGGUCAUGCAUCAUAGUCACAUAUAAGUCACGCAUUGUCAAGUACUAAGAUCAUCCAUUAGCAUGAUAAAUAAGACAAGAAUAUUAUUUUUAAAAUAAUAAUAUAAGAAAAUGAAAUGAAAUUCUUAUGAAAAUUAAAAUCAUUUUAGAGUUCAUAUUAUUAAAAAUAAACUUUAUAAGAACAUUAAAGAUGAACGAACAAUUUUGGAUAUACUGCGAGAUUGCUUAAAGUUCUCUUAGUAAACUAUUUCUAAGUGUGAAAUGAAUAAAACUUCAAGGUGGUUAGAUCUCAUCGAACUCGCUCCACUAGAGUUUUGAGAGCUAUUCAGCUGGAGAGUAACGAUAAGUUUAUUAGUUGAUACUAAACAAAACUUACUACAUGAUAUUAUUAUUAUUAUUUCUACUACUACUAUAAUUACUACUAUUUCUACUACGACGUUAUGAGUAUUGUCAAAAUAUAUUUGUUGUAUUAUAUGAUGUGAAAUAAUGUGAUAAUGUUUGUUUUAGUACUAGAAUUAUAUCCAAUAUCAAAAUAGUAGUUGAGUACUGGGAGGCUAGGCUCGCCAGUUAAACGGCUCGGUAAGUACACAAUUUUUGAUUUUUUUGUUAAUUUCUUUUAUUUGUGCAUAACAAGUGAGUUACUAGUGAUGGAGGUUUUGCAUGUAUUAAUUGGAAAUAUUUUUCAGCAAUUGGGGCUUUAGUUUCAAUAUACUAUAAUAAAUCAGUUUGAUAAAGGUAAAAGAGAUGGGAUGAUAUUUUAGAGGUAUAUUUUGAAAUUUGAAUUUUCUUAUGAAAUUUGUUAUUUUGGAACUUGAUUCUUGUGUCUAAGUUAUCAAUCAUCGAGUUGCAUAUGCAUUGGUCAUGCAUCAUAGUCUCAUAUGCAUUGGCAUGAUAAAUUGGACACAAUGACAUUAUUUUUAAAAUAAUAAUAUAAGAAAAUGAAAUGAAAUGUUUAUGAAAAAUAAAAUCAUUUGAGUUCAUAUUAUUAAAGAUGAACUUUAUAAGGACAUGAAAGUUGAACGAACAAUUUUGAAUAUAUUGCGAGAUUGGUUAAAGUGCUCGUACUAAACUAUUUCUAAGUAUGAAAUGGACAAGACUUCAUGAUGUAGGGAAGGAGUACAACAUCAAGAUUUUAAUGUAUAAGAGCACAUAUUAAUUUUAAUUUUUUUUUAUUUAGAUCCCACCGAAUUCGCUCCACAAGAGUUUUGAGAGCUAUACAAUUUGAAGAUAACGAUAAGUUCAUGUAUUGAUACUAAACAUAACUUACUGUAUGAUAUUAUUAUUAUUAUUAUUAUUAUUAUUAUUAUUAUUAAUUAUUAUUAUUAUUAUUAUUUCUACUACUAUGUUGCUAUUAGUGUUGUUUAAAUAUAGUUGUUGCAUUAUAUAAUGUGAAGUAAUGUGAUAAUGUUUAUUUUAGUAUUUUCUAGAAUUACAUCCAAUAUCAAAAUAGUGGUUUAGUAUUAGGAGGCUGGGUUCAUAAUAGGUUAAGUGACUCGAUAAGUACAUAAUUCUUGAUUGUCUUUUAUUAAUUUAUUUUAUUUGUACCUAACAAGUCAUUAGUGACGGAGGUUUUCCAUAUAUUAAAUUUUACAAAUUGGAAAUUAUUUUUGGCAAUUGGGGCUUUAGUUUCAAAUACAUAAUAAAUCAAUUUGAUAAAAAUGAGAAGGAUUUGAUGAUAUUUUAGAUGUGCAUUUUGAAAUUUGAAUUUUUUUAUAAACUCUGUUAUUUUGGAACUUGAUUCUUAUGUCUAACUUGUCAGUUAUUCAGUUGCAUAUGCAUUGGUCGUGCAUCAUAGUCACAUAUAAGUCACGCAUUGUCAAGUACUAAGGUAGCAUGACAAAUUGAAGACAAGAAUGUUAUUUCCAAAAUAAUAAUAUAAGAAAAUAAGAUGAGAUGUUUUUGAAAAUUAAAAUCAUUUUAGAGUUCAUAUUAUUAAAAAUAAAAUUUUAUAAGCACAUGAAAGGUGAGUGAACAAUUUUGAAUGAAAUUUGGGAUUGAUCAAAGUGCUCUUUGUAAGCUAUCUCUAACUAUGAAAUGGACAGUGCAUCAAGAUGCAUGGAAGGAGUAUAACAUCAGGAUCUUGAUGUAUAAGAGCAUAUAGUAAUUUUGAUUUUUUUUAUUUAUAUCCCAUCCAUUUUGCUCCACAAGAAUUUUGAGAGCUAUACAAUUUGAGGAUAACAAUAAGUUUGUGAGUUGAUACUUAACUUAUCUUACUGCAUGAUGUUAUUAUUGCUUUCAUUAUUAUUAUUAUUAUUAUUGUUGUUGUUGUUGUUAUUUCUACUACUAUAUUGCUAUGAGUAUUGUUAAAAUAUAUUGUUGUUGUAUUAUAUGAUGUGAAUUAAUGUGAUAAUAUUUGUUUUAGUAUUUGGUAGAAUUACAUCCGAUAUUAAAAUAAUGGUUAGUACUGGGAGGCUAGGUUCAUAAUAACAAGUUAAGUGAUUCGUUAAGUACACAAUUCUUAAUUGUCAUUUGUUAAUUUUUCUUUUGUUUGUACAUAACAAGUGAGUUACUAGUGAUGAAGGUUUUGCAUGUAUUAAAUCUUUUAAAUCUGAAAUGCCUUUUGGAAAUUGGGGCUUUAAUAUCAACGUACCAUAAUAAAUGAUUUGAUGAUAUUUUAGAAGUAAAUUUUGAAAUAUGAAUUUUUUUAUGAACAUUGUUAUUUUGGAACUUGAUUCUUAUGUCCAAGUUGUCAGUCACUGAGUCGCAUAUGUAUUGGUCAUGGAUCAUAG